rnacentral:rRNA from 1 species
UGAGGAAUAUUGCACAAUGGGGGAAACCCUGAUGCAGCAACGCCGCGUGGAGGAUGACGCAUUUCGGUGUGUAAACUCCUUUUAUAAGGGAAGAAAAUGACGGUACCUUAUGAAUAAGCACCGGCUAACUCCGUGCCAGCAGCCGCGGUAAUACGGAGGGUGCGAGCGUUAAUCGGAAUCACUGGGCGUAAAGCGCACGUAGGCGGUGUCGUAAGUCGGAUGUGAAAGCCCUCGGCUCAACCGGGGAACUGCAUUCGAUACUGCGAUGCUUGAGUGCCGGAGAGGGUGGCGGAAUUCCAGGUGUAGGAGUGAAAUCCGUAGAUAUCUGGAGGAACACCAGUGGCGAAGGCGGCCACCUGGCCGGCAACUGACGCUGAGGUGCGAAAGCGUGGGGAUCAAACA